UCGAGGAUCUUCGUCAAUGGGCGAAAGCCUGAACGAGCGACGCCGCGUGCGGGAUGAAGGCCCUUGGGUUGUAAACCGCUGUCAGGGGGGAUGAAACCGCAAGGUUGACAGAGCCCCAGAGGAAGCACGGGCUAAGUUCGUGCCAGCAGCCGCGGUAAUACGAACUGUGCGAACGUUACUCGGAAUCACUGGGCUUACAGGGUGCGUAGGCGGCUUGUUAAGCAGGGUGUGAAAUCCCUCGGCUCAACCGAGGAACUGCGCUCUGAACUGGCGAGCUGGAGGAUGCUAGAGGUGUAUGGAACAUCUAGUGGAGCGGUGAAAUGUGUUGAUAUUAGAUGGAACACCGGAGGCGAAGGCGAUACACUGGGGCAUAUCUGACGCUGAGGCACGAAAGCCAGGG
rnacentral:rRNA from 1 species